rnacentral:lncRNA from 1 species
UCAUCGCAGUCCACUGCUGGACAUAGGCCUCUCCAAGUGCACGCCACUGAGAUCUAUUUUCGGCUUAUUUCUAGUUUGCUUCCUUGCAAGGAUAUAUUUUGUAUUAUCCAGUGUAGGGCAUAGCGUAGGCAUUUAAUAUUAUUUGUACCGAGGACAAAACAUCAACCUACCACAAUCUGACUUUCUUCAAUAAAUUUUCAACCUUAUCACUAAGGAAGGUUAAUGUAUAAGUAUUUUCGAAAACAAUUCUAAAUAUGUUCAUGCAGCAGGAGGAAAUGCUUUUCAAAAUUGAUAACUCGUUGUUAUUUUUUAAAUCAGUUUCAUACGAAUUUAUUUACGUAAUGUAUUUCUAGAUAAUAUACUUAUCGUUGUAUUCUGGCUUAUUUUACGUCUUGACCUCUACCCUCUUAUUAUAAAACGCGGUAUCAAAUAAGUAUCGGCUUUUGUACUACCUUUAAUCCACCUUUAAGUACGACCUUGAAAAAACGUUAUUACAAAACGCAGUUUAUCGCAAGUCCUAUUACUAUCUGUAGUACAAAAGAUAAACCAUCGAGCCCCCUAGUUUAACUGCAGUACUUAGUCGACAAACGUCAAAUUCCGACAUUAUUUACUUUUGAGGUUAUUUGUUUUGUGAUGAAAAAAACGAAAGUGGAUAUAAAUAUGUGUGAUUUGGAAUACUUGGAUGUGUUAGAAUACUAUUGAGAGUGUCCGGGGACCCAACAGAAUGCGUCAUCGACAAAAUCUCUUCAAAUUACCUGACGACAAUUUUCGAUAUAAAUAUCGAUUUACGUUUUUCGAAAUAAUAGUGAAUUGAAUGCAUGAUGAUAAUCCAGGAUGAUCCUAUGAUGCUCAACUGGGCUCGCCAUAAAAUUCAAGACUAUUUUGGCGUUUUGCACGCCGUAUCUCUGCCAGUAAUAUGCAAUGUUUGUAAAAGACUGGAAGCUUGCUAAAAUGUACAAAAAUGCCUAGAUGAGAAAGGGAACAAGAUUGUGUGAUGAAGAACAGUGUCCAACAUGUAUCAGUGCAUUUGACUGUAUAAAUAGACAUCGGAAUAAAAUAUAAUUUUCUACUUU